rnacentral:rRNA from 1 species
UGGAAGUUAGAGUUAUGGAGACAAACCUUGGAAUCGAAAGGGUUUAGGCUUAGUAGAACUAAAACCGAGUACAUGAUGUGCGGUUUCAGUACUACUAGGUGUGAGGAGGAGGUUAGCCUUGAUGGCCAGGUGGUACCUCAGAAGGACACCUUUCGGUAUUUGGGGUCAAUGUUGCAGGAGGAUGGGGGUAUUGAUGAAGAUGUGAACCAUCGAAUCAAAGCCGGAUGGAUGAAGUGGCGCCAAGCUUCUGGCAUUCUCUAUGACAAGAGAGUGCCACAAAAGCUAAAAGGCAAGUUCUACAGGACGGCGGUUCGACCCGCAAUGUUGUAUGGCGCUGAGUGUUGGCCGAUUAAAAGGCGACAUGUUCAACAGUUAGGUGUGGCGGAGAUGCGUAUGUUGAGAUGGAUGUGUGGCCACACGAGGAAGGAUCGAGUCCGGAAUGAUGAUAUACGAGAUAGAGUUGGGGUAGCACCAAUUGAAGAGAAGCUUGUCCAACAUCGUCUAAGAUGGUUUGGGCAUAUUCAGCGCAGGCCU